CCGUGGGGGCCCCCCGGGGCCUCUGCCGAGAUAGCACCCCUUGUCUUUUCGAGCACCAACCGUUUCCUCGGCGGGCACGCCCGCCAACGGGGACCAACCAGAAACCUCAACCGCAGUAUCAGAAGUCGAAAACGUACCAAAACAAAAAAUCA
rnacentral:misc_RNA from 1 species